CUUAUGUCUGUCUCUCACUCUGCGACUCUCUCUCUUUCUCUCUCACGUCUUUGCCUCCUCCGACUGUCUCUCUCUCGCUUUUGUCUCCAUUGUUAACGGAGCAUCACCACCAUCGCACUCGAGCACCACCGUCAAUCCACCAUUGGAGCAUUACCCCAGGAACUAGUGGACCCAACAAAGAUCGAUCGCUAGGCUGUCGUGAACUUUUCAGCUCGUUGCGAUAUCCGUCCUUGUUAGGGAUUUGAUCAAAUGUGGAGACAUGAAGGGAAUUCAAAUUGAUGCUCCAUUCGAUGUAUUUGAAGAGAGUCCACAAAAUAGGCGGGCCCCACCUCUUGCUAGAGUGGAAAAAAUGUUUGAAGAUAUACAAUCCAAACUUUCCUGGGGCUCCUCAAUUUCUUCUAUGUUUGCUUCCAGAGUGGAAGAACUCUGAUCUAUAUGGUUUGUUUGAUUUGAUUUAUUCCUUUAUUACACUGUUGUUUUUUUUACCAGUGUUUAAUGAAUAAAACCAUCUUAAUUUCUACGGUCCAUGGAAAUGAAAGAAUCUUGCAUCUACAAGAGUUAAUGACCAGUAUCAUACUAAUGUUCUCCUUAAGAUCAAUACGAAGGUGAGGUACUUACUGUAUGGAAGUGUGAUUUCCUCAAUGAGACCACCAUUCCCUCAAUUUUCAGAUUAUAAGUUUGGCAUUUAGAUCAAUGGCUUCAUUGUUAAAUUAAGCAAGUGUUUUAGUAAAUAAAUUUAAUUUUCCCAUCAUGUUUACAGCUUCAAAAUAUUUUGUAAAUGACAUUUGAUGUAGAAUUUUGUGUACAGAGGACAUCCUUUUUGUAUGAUUCUCUUUUUGUAUGAAAUUAUU